UUUUUUUUUUUUUUUUUUUACUGUGGUCAGGGUAAAAAUUUUUCUGACAGUCACUGGGCUAGUGAGCAGUUAGAGUCUAAAAUAUCACCUUGGUCUGCCUUCAGAGGGGAAAUCACAGAAGAACAUUCUCUUUCUUGAAAUGGUGGAGGGUGGCUUCCGGAUCUGAUCAGGACAUGGUGUUAGGGAAAGGAGAGCUAUGAGAAUGUCUUUGUUGCUGCAUUUGGAUUCUGAGAGGACAUGAGAGUUCAUUGUGGGGGUAAUGAGGUUAAGGACACCUUUGUGUUGAAACCCUGGAAGAAGGUGCUGGCUGGCCUGAGCAGGUGGAAUUCAGGGAAGAAGAGAAUAGCCAUUCUGGGUCUUUGCAAGGUGAGCUGGAACACUGGCUGAUGUUGGAGCUUUGCGGAGCACCAGAUCCUAAGAUCUGAGGUAAGCAAAUGAGAGAUGCCCCCGGCCACACCUGGCCCUGAAGGAGGAAAGGCCCACCUAGGGAAUCUGCUCAGGCUCUGGAUUAACACUGUCCACCUGGGUUGGAUGUGUUGUCAACAGCCGUGUGGUAGCAAGAGGCAAAAGAUGAUGGAAUUUCAAGUUUUUCUCCUGAUAAAUUGAUUUGCCCCAUCCUAGCCCCAUCUUGGGCUGCUGAAACAGUAUUCCCAGGGCUUCCUUAGUUAUCAGCAGAAGGGAAAAUACUUCAAUAUUUGUUAAUGUGAAAGGUAGGGCUCUCAACUAGCCAGAUCUCAUUUGAGUUGCAAAAUAUGAACAUGGGUUUAUAUUUGCACAAUGAGUUUUUGGAACAAGUCCUGCCAGUCACAGAUUGCUUUUAAAAUAUAGGAGAUGAAAGAAAUCUCCUAAGGAGAAAGAAGAGAAUAAAAAGAGAGCCUAAGGAAUGCCAUUAUUUUAAAGUCAGGCAGAGAAAUAGUUGUCAAAGGAGACAGAAAAGGCAUUUCCACAGAGCAAGAAGGAAAAGCCAGAGUGUGUAGGUCACAUAAGCUGAAGGACUUAAGACGGCAGAAAUGCUAACAGAUGGUUGAACUUUACUUGGAGUGUUUGCACCCUAUCAAGAAGAAGUAAUUAUUACACUCUGGCUAUUGUACCCAGAAUGUUCUGUGACCAGUGCUGUUGUAGAGAUGUGGAUGUCUAUGGCAAGGUCCAGCAGUUAAAGAGUCUAUCAGGACUCAUGCCAUCAGCCAUGGAAAUGCACUUCCACUAUCCCUGGAUAACCAGGAGAGAACAGGCUUGGAAAUGUGCAGCUGAGAGAGCUCUAGUGGGCUGGACAAGCCACCACAGCCAAGGUCUUCUAGCAGGAACCCUAUUGCUGUCCCCUCACUGAAUAUGCCUCCAGCCAGCCUGUGUGCUCCCUCAUUCAUUGAAAGUAAAUGUGCCCAGAGGGGCACCUGCAUGCCCAAGCUUGAAUCGCAUGCCUACCUUGGGGUGCGCUUAAAUGGUGAGACACAGGAUCUGGGAUUCUCAGUUAAAGGGAUAUUUUACUUAAAACUUGAAACUAUUGAUGUAGUUCCUGCAUCCCUCAGUACAGGCAGAGAGGAGAGCAAGUGUGUCCUGGACCUACUUAGCUGUAACUAUGGCUUUGUGUCU
ensembl:lncRNA